rnacentral:lncRNA from 1 species
GUGAAAGAGUUUUUAUUCCCAGUCAGUGUAUCAUCAAUAUUUGAGUGAGUGCUUGAAGAAACAGGGUUGCUGUUACAGCUCAGCUCCUGCUUCAGGCACUUUGAAAUCUCAGGCUGCAUCAGCUACAUCCAGGUUUUGAUUUAAUUCAAGGUUUGCUGUACAGCUUUAUGAGCUUUAUUUAUCAGAUUGGAGCUGAGACUACAGACAGUGAUUCAGGAACUGUUCUGCUGUUUCUGUCCUGAUUUCUCUCUUUCUAAAAAUGCUCAGCUAUUUCUUUGUGCUCCUGCAUGGGGAGAGCUGAUUAUUUGGUCUGAAAGAUGGGCACUGGCAUUCUUGGAUCAAUUCUUCCUUUCCCACAGCUUUUCAAGGAUUCAUAUCUCCUUCUUGCCCCAGUCACCUGCACGUAAAAUGUUGAUAGUAUCUCUUUCCUGGAAGAACAGUACAAGCAUACUGGAAUCCUGGGCUGGAAGGGACUGGAGACAGACAAGCUGGUUGUGGGCUGGAUUUGGAUUUCCUGUAGCCAUCUCAGUAUUGAUGAGGGAUUUGCUAAGUCUGUUGUAUUUUAUCUGUUUAUUAACCUGAAAUGGAUCUCUCAAGUGCUUGUCCUGAUUCCCAUUGGACCCAUGUGGACUUCUGACUUCUUCAGUCCAUGAUGCCCUUUGCUGAGAGGUGACAAGCAGCAAACAGGCUAAAGGAAGAGUAACCAGAAUGCUGAGGAACUACUGGUCUGAAGGGGAGUUGUUGAUACAGAAUAGCCUUGAAAUGGAAGCUAUUCAAUGUUCAAAAUUGCAUGGUUAUGUGCAUGAGAAAUGAGGAAAAAGUUCAGCUCCAGCUAGGAGCUCACUGAGGAAAGUGAGAGAGAUGGAGAAAAACCCAGGGUCUAUCAGCGACCUUCAGGAUAACUGAGCAGACAUGAAAAGAUAAAUGUCAUCCACUGUGACAUGUUAGAAAAAUAUUUGUAGCAGAGAAUAGGGACAUUUUUGUGCUUUAAGGCAUGGUGCGAUCUGGCUUGGAAGAUUGUCAACAUUUCCCAUCACACUCUGAAGGCUGUAUUCAAACUGGGUCAUGUCCAGAGAAGGGUUACUUAUGAUCAAAUCAUGGAGAGCCUAUCUAAUGCAAAGUGAUUAAAGAAAUGGGAUGAUAUAACUUUAAACACAGUCUGGAUAAAUGCU